AAUAAUAAUAUUAAAGCAAACAUAACUAAGAAUUAGUCCGUAAAUAGGCAUUUGAAGGACUUGAUCCUUAGCUGAUCCUUAGUACAGGUGGCAUGUUGCCAUUGGUGGAGAGAGUAUUGGUCUGAUGAAAGGAACAAAGCCGAACUCGAUGUCGAGGAGAUGAAGAUCGUCUGGGUUCUCGCCACGCUUUUGAGUUUCCGAUCGAAUCGUCCGCCUCGUCGCCUCCGAUCCGGUGAGUCUUCUUCUCCAUCAUCCGGUGUGGAUAUGUUGCCUCCGAUCCGAGGAAGAAGCAGGAGUGAUUGAGUAUAAUACUUUGUUAAGCUCACUAAAGACUCGACGAGAUUCUUUGGGUUCAAAGCUGAGUGAGCUAUUGGAAGCUAAGGUUUGUGUCACGAGAGACUCCUUGAUCAGUCUCUCUCUCUCUAUCUUUCUUUUUGUUCUGCAGAGCAACGUAAGUUACUUAAACCAUCCUUUGGCACAUAUCUUGUUGAUAUUGGAUUGUGGUCAUCCUCAUUACAAACACAGCUGAGGGUGGCUAUACUCCGGCUACUAAGGACAAUAACUCAGGAGCUUUCGCGUUUGGAGUUAACGGUGUCGUUUCUUCGUGUUUGUUGGUUCUUCUCUUUGCUUUCUUCAUGUUUUCAGUUUCUUUUCUUGAAUAAUGAUCUCGGUGUUCUUUCUUCAUGUGUUGAGCCUCAUUGUGAGUUUCUUUCAUUGUCUAUGUUCUGAAAAAAAAAUGUUUUUGGGUGAAAAUCUCAUUGCGUUUGU